rnacentral:rRNA from 1 species
AUUGAACGCUGGCGGCAGGCCUAACACAUGCCAGUCGAGCGGAUGAAGGGAGCUUGCUCCUGGAUUCAGCGGCGGACGGGUGAGUAAUGCCUAGGAAUCUGCCUGGUAGUGGGGGAUAACGUCCGGAAACGGGCGCUAAUACCGCAUACGUCCUGAGGGAGAAAGUGGGGGAUCUUCGGACCUCACGCUAUCAGAUGAGCCUAGGUCGGAUUAGCUAGUUGGUGGGGUAAAGGCCUACCAAGGCGACGAUCCGUAACUGGUCUGAGAGGAUGAUCAGUCACACUGGAACUGAGACACGGUCCAGACUCCUACGGGAGGCAGCAGUGGGGAAUAUUGGACAAUGGGCGAAAGCCUGAUCCAGCCAUGCCGCGUGUGUGAAGAAGGUCUUCGGAUUGUAAAGCACUUUAAGUUGUGAGGAAGGGCAGUAAGUUAAUACCUUGCUGUUUUGACGUUACCAACAGAAUAAGCACCGGCUAACUUCGUG